rnacentral:rRNA from 1 species
CGCGUAGGCGGCUUAGCAAGUCAGAUGUGAAAGCCCCGGGCUUAACUCGGGAACUGCAUCUGAAAACUGCUUUGCUUGAGUCCUGGAUGGGAUAGUGGAAUUCCCAGUGUAGCGGUGAAAUGCGUAGAUAUUGGGAGGAACACCUGCGGCGAAGGCGGCUAUCUGGACAGUGACUGACGCUGAGGCGCGAAAGCUAGGGGAGCGAACG